GCUCAAUGAGUUUUAUGCGACUGAAUCCAAAAAGCGACUGUUAAGUUAACAGGCUCUCUGUGAGCGCAACAGUUGGUUAACAGUUUUAAAACAAGAGAAUGCAAACCGAUUACAUGCAAGAGCGAGUCUAAAUUGAACGGAGCUUUGUUAACAAAGACAACCCGUGCAACGUAAGACUAACAGUACGUAUGCGCAAAUUCGAGUCACAAACGCAAAAAGCAGCUCUGUGAACGCAUAAAUGAGCACGCAAGGAUUUUCUCAUGUAAAUUAACAGCGCCGUUAGCGCCGACUUAUAUUUAUUUCUAUUUAAUAAUAAAAAAAAACCAGGUAUAAUUAAACUGCUGCUACUACGCCUCCUGCUCGCCACCGUUGGCUAACUUUUUCGCCCUCUUUGCCAGCUUCUUUAUGUGUUCGCUCUUGUCCAGAUUGUUCUGGAAGAAGGUCGUCUCCUUCCGCGCCUGCGACACCUCCGUCUGCAGACGCUGCUUAUGCACCGCCUGCUCGUAAUUCAUGCGUUCCGUCAGAUGGACCCACUUGAAGCGCGGCAAAUAUUUCAUGCUCCACAGCGAGUCGAAGAACUGUGACUUUUUGCGC